rnacentral:misc_RNA from 1 species
GGCGCAGCAGCAGCAGUAACAGCAGCUGGCAGCGGCCGCUUUGCAACCAUAAUGGGCGCAGUCAAAUCACGCAACAUCAGCAACUCUGAUGUGGAUCGAGAUCGAGAUGAGCAGCAGCAGCAGAGCACACAACACUCAGUGAUCCGCAAUGGUGGGCAUCAUCAUCACAAUCAACAUCCUCAGCAUCAUCAUCAUCUGAAUGGUGCGCUGCCCGCUGUUGGCACGCUGCAGAAACAGGAUCUUCGCUAUGACAUCGGCUCCAGUUCGCAAUAUCAACAUGUGCGACAGCCGAGCGUGCGCAGUCGCAGCCAGCUGCCGAUGCCCACCACCGAUGAACUGGAUCGUCGAUUUGCCAAAGUAUUGGCUUCAAUGGACCUGCCACCGGACAAAGCAAAGCUGUUGCGCAAUUACGAUGACGAGAAGAAGUGGGACAUGAUAUGCGAUCAAGAAAUGGUGCAGGCGAAGGAUCCACCCUCACAUUACUUGAGCAAAUUGCGGACAUAUUUGGAUCCAAAGGCAUCGCGUAGUCAUCGGCUUUACCUCUUCUACUUUCUUUGUCAGAAACGUAAGAUGGUAGGCGAAUCGACAUCCACUCAGGUGCUGCGGGAUCUCGAGAUCUCGCUGCGCACCAAUCACAUCGAGUGGGUCAAAGAGUUUCUCGACGAUACCAAUCAGGGCCUCGAUGCUCUUGUCGAUUAUCUCUGUUUUCGCCUCCAAAUGAUGCGACACGAGCAGCGUCUCCAGGACGCUCUCUGCGCAUCCGAGGAGCGUUUAAAUGUUACCAGCGGGCUCGAUUCCGGCGAGGUGGUGCUGAGCAACAGCUCAUUGAGUCCGGGCGGCGUUGGCGGCACUGCCAAUCACAAUAAUGUCUCUCUAUUGCUGGACAGCUCGCGACAGCCAGGUGCCGCACAUGGCAAUCACUCGCAUUCCUAUAGCUUUGUGCGACCCACCGAGGUCCUGGACAGUCCCAGCCUGAAGCGUCGCUCGCGGCACAUUGCCAAAUUGAAUAUGGGUGCGGCCACAGAUGAUAUACACGUGUCCAUAAUGUGCCUGCGUGCGAUCAUGAACAAUAAGUAUGGCUUCAAUAUGGUCAUCCAGCAUCGGGAGGCUAUCAACUGCAUCGCUCUGAGUCUGAUACACAAAUCUCUGCGCACUAAGGCGCUGGUGCUGGAGUUGCUGGCGGCCAUUUGUUUGGUGAAGGGCGGACACGAGAUCAUCCUGGGCUCGUUCGAUAAUUUCAAGGAUGUGUGCCAGGAGCAGCGGCGCUUCCAAACGCUCAUGGAGUACUUCAUGAACUUUGAGGCCUUCAACAUUGACUUCAUGGUCGCCUGCAUGCAGUUCAUGAACAUUGUUGUGCACUCCGUCGAGGAUAUGAACUAUCGCGUCCACUUGCAAUACGAGUUUACGGCCCUGGGUCUUGACAAGUAUUUGGAGCGCAUUCGCCUCACCGAGUCCGAGGAGCUUAAGGUGCAAAUUUCCGCCUAUCUCGAUAAUGUUUUCGAUGUGGCUGCCCUGAUGGAGGAUUCGGAAACGAAAACAUCGGCACUGGAGCGUGUCCAAGAGCUGGAGGAUCAGCUGGAGCGUGAAAUUGAUCGCAACUCGGAGUUUCUCUACAAAUUUGCCGAGCUGGAGACGGAGAAUCUGACCCUCAAAGCGGAGCGCGAGCAGCUGGCUGUGAUGCGACAACAGCUGGAGGAGCAACUAAAUGCGCUGCAGCGCAUGUUGCAACAAAACGAACAGGAGCUCAAGAAGCGCGAUACACUGCUGCACAACAAGAACCUGGAGCUGCAAACUCUUUCGCGUUCCCUGCCACGUUCCGCGUCCAGCGGCGAUGGUUCCCUGGUGAAUGGCAGCCUGUUGACGGGCUCAACAGGUGGCACAAUCUCGCCGCCACCACCACCGCCGCCACCGAUGCCAGCAGCAACAGCAGCACCACCACCGCCGCCACCACCAGCGCCACCUGCACCGCCACCGCCGCCUAUGAUGCCCGGUCUGAGUCCACUGGUCAGCCCAAAUGGCAGCAUCACUUCCACAGUACCCUCGCCGCCACAUGCGCCGUCCAUGCUCAGCUCGUUCCAGCCACCGCCGCCGCCAGUGGCCGGCUUCAUGCCAGCCCCUGAUGGUGCUAUGACCAUCAAGCGCAAGGUGCCCACCAAAUACAAGCUGCCCACACUUAAUUGGAUAGCACUCAAGCCGAAUCAGGUGCGUGGCACUAUUUUCAAUGAGCUGGACGACGAGAAGAUCUUCAAGCAAAUUGACUUUAAUGAGUUCGAGGAGCGCUUCAAAAUUGGCAUUGGUGGUGGCCUGCAUAAUGGCAGCAAUGGCACCGAGGUGGAUGGCACCCUGUCAACCUAUCCCAGUAAACGUUUCAAGAAGCCCGAUAAUGUGUCGCUGCUGGAGCACACGAGGUUAAGAAACAUAGCAAUCUCACGUCGUAAACUGGGCAUGCCCAUUGACGAUGUUGUCGCCGCCAUACAUAGUUUGGAUUUGAAGAAGCUAUCGCUGGAGAAUGUCGAGCUGCUGCAAAAGAUGGUGCCCACCGAUGCGGAGGUCAAGGCCUACAAGGAGUACAUAAUUGAGCGCAAGGAUCAACAGCUGCUCACCGAGGAGGACAAAUUCAUGUUGCAAUUGUCGCGCGUCGAACGCAUCUCCUCCAAGCUGGCCAUUAUGAACUACAUGGGCAACUUUGUCGAUAGCGUGCAUCUCAUUAGUCCACAAGUACUAUCGAUUGCCAGUGCCUCCAACUCUUUGAAGCAAUCGCGCAAGUUCAAAGCUGUGCUGGAAAUUGUGCUGGCCUUUGGUAACUAUCUCAAUAGCAACAAGCGUGGUCCUGCCUAUGGCUUCAAACUGCAGUCGCUGGACACACUGAUUGACACAAAGUCUACUGAUAAGCGCUCGUCGCUGCUGCACUAUAUUGUGGCCACCAUAAGGGCGAAAUUUCCGGAACUGCUGAGCUUUGAGUGCGAACUGUAUGGCACGGAUAAGGCGGCAUCUGUGUCGCUGGAGAACGUUGUGGCCGAUGUGCAGGAACUGGAUAAGGGCAUGGAUCUGGUGCGCAAGGAGGCCGAUCUGCGUGUUAAGGGCACACAGACGCACAUCUUGCGGGAUUUCCUCAACAACAGCGAGGAUAAGCUGAAGAAGAUCAAGAGCGAUCUGCGGAUGGCGCAGGAUGCGUUCAAAGAGUGUGUCGAAUACUUUGGCGACUCGUCCCGCAAUGCAGAUGCGGCUGCCUUCUUUGCGUUAAUUGUGCGCUUUACGCGCGCCUUUAAGCAACUCGACCAGGAGAACGAACAACGUCGUCGACUGGAACAGGCAGCCGCAUUGGCUGCAUCGAAAAAGGAGAGCGAUCAGGUUAUGAUGCGCAACAAGUUCAAUCAGAAGAAGCAACAGCAAAUACAUUGCCUGCUUGACUUUGCCAAGCAGCAUACCACUGUGGAUAUGUCUUCCUAGUAGUAUAACCCCAAGGUUAUUUGGCUAACACACACACACACUCUAGUAAUACUCAAUUGGGGCGGGAAGGCCUUCGGUGCGGGCGAAUUUCAAUCCAGCACAACUAAAACCAAUACCAAAAGCAACCACCUACAACCAAUAUCAUCAACACCACCACCACCACCACCAUCACCACUACCACGACCACCAACACAAUCCACUAGCUUCUAGUCGUGUACAUUGGGGCGGCAUGUGACGGAAGUUGUUUGUGUGUGUUAAAUAUCAUAUAGCUUGCCUACAAACUGCGCACUUUCCUUGCAGGAUGCCGUCAUCAACGAGCUGAAGA